GAUGAACGCUGACAGAAUGCUUAACACAUGCAAGUCUUUGGCGAAGCUGUGCUUGCACAGCCUAGCCAAGGCGGACGGGUGAGUAACGCGUAAGGAACUUGCCCUGCAGUCAGGGAUAACAGACGGAAACGACUGAUAAGACCUGGUAAAGUCAGGCGGACUCAUGUCCAGCCUGAUGAAAAGUGAUGCUGCAGGAGAGCCUUGCGUCCUAUUAGCUUGUUGGUGGGGUAACGGCCCACCAAGGCGAUGAUAGGUAGCCGGCCUGAGAGGGUGGACGGCCACAAGGGGACUGAGAUACGGCCCUUACUCCUACGGGAGGCAGCAGUGGGGAAUAGUGGACAAUGGGGGCAACCCAGAUCCAGCAAUUCUGUGUGCACGAUGAAGGUUUUCGGAUUGUAAAGUGCUUUCAGCAGGGAAGAAAAAAAUGACGGUACCUGCAGAAGAAGCGACGGCUAAAUACGUG
rnacentral:rRNA from 1 species